CUUCCCUUCAUCAACAUUGGAAAUGGCAGAUGGCACGCUGAUAACAACCAUAGGAGUGGAAAUCAGAAGGGCCUUUCAGGCAAUACUCAGAAAAAUCUUUCAGGAAUGAUGAACCCUCAGCGCUUUGGACAAGCACAAUGAAGAUAUGAACUCUCUAGUCCCCACUCUACCCGCUGCUGACAAUCUUCUACACGAGACAUGCCGCUACUGACUGGCAGGAGGAAGUUCUCCGAGUUUCAGUGUCCGCAUCAAUGAAAGGUUUGUGGUGAAAGAGAUCAGGAAGACGGGUGCAGGCAGGAGAGGCGGAGAAUCCAGGCAGCAGGCUCAUACGAAUCUCAACUUCCUUCUUCAAGGACAGUGGCUCAGCUUCAGAAGCCUUCUCAGUAGAACAGCACAGUGAAAACUGACUUUUCAUUCCUCACCUUAAAAGAUCCCACGUGAUUAUGAAACCCACACACACACACCCCAGCACAACCCACUGAUCUGAGUACACUUGAGUAUUGGGUUCUUCCAUUUCACAGGUAAGGACACUUAGACACAGAGACAUUUAUGCUUUGCCUGAACCCAUUCGACUGAUUUGAACCCCAUCCUGCUCCCACCAUCAAGAUCUAAGAAGAUGAAAAUAACUAGAAAACUGUUGGUGAUAGACUCUCCCUCACAAACUGAGCACUUUACUUGGAAAGAGGAGGACAAGAGACUUGGUGUCCUCUGUGUGUGUGGCCUGGAAAUCAUCUUCCCUCCCUCCUCUGCUACCCCCCCAGCCCCCACCUUUCCAUUCCUCUGCCUCUCUCCCUCCCUGGCUUUUUUCUCCCUGCCCUUCUCUGUCCCGAGUAUCUGGCUUUCCCCUCCUCUUCACAUUACACCAGAUGCCUGUACACUGUCUUAUUGAGAGGAUGCACUAUUGCUUUUCUGCAGAGAUGUACCCUGGUGGGUAGCAUUUCCAAAGGGCUUUAACUUGCCAAUGAGAAAUAACACAAUCAAAGUGAAACUGGUUCAGAAACUCACUUCAGAUCCCAAGCAGAGAUGCAAAUUUGGGGUGUAAGCAUGCCAUUUAGUCAGCCAUGCAAAUUAGCACAUGCUUGCUUCUUGCCUGGGGCCCUGAAAGAAACCAGGAGGGGAGCCGCAAGGAAUUUCAAUCUGUUCUCUUUCUCCUUUAGUUGACUUUUGGCCAUGUUUUAGUUGGUAUUUGCUUCUGUGAACGCCUGUGGCUGAUGGUGACUGUUUUUUUAACCUGAGUGUGGAGAGGCAGAGGGGAAGCGAAACAAAUGAGUUGGUCUGAAGGUUAGUAAUGGCAAACCAUAGGAGCAAGCUAGAAAUAAAAUGUGUGCACACACACAGAGU
rnacentral:sRNA from 1 species